UCCAUAUCUUAAUAUUUUUUUUAGAAUUUUUUGAGGUGCCAAAAGGAGAUUUUGGCAUUGAUUCAUGGCACCCUUUCUUCGAAAGUCCCAAUUCCUAGUCUAUAAAAGGGGACCCCUCUCUUGGACAUCCCGUAAUCAAAUCUCUUGUGAAUUUUUUAUUUUCAAAACCUUUACUCCUCCUCCUCUCUUUCUUCUCCAGAUCUUCUAUCACUUUGGAGUAUCUAAGAUGCUUGUAAAAAAAGAAUGAGAUCACCUGUCGAAGUUGUUCACAGACUAGCAUCUCCGAGCCCCUGAUCUACACCAAUCUUCAUGAAGAUUUUUCUAUAGAGGCCAGAUGACUUUGUGUGGCUGUGAGCAACCUGAGAAAUACCCUCUCCAACUAUUAGACUAGAGGAAAUUAAGAUCAAAAUUUGUUUGGUAAUGAUCUCUAACUUGUUUUGAUUCCUAUGGUAGAUCUAAUAGUUAGAUCUAGAAUUUCAGUAUCGAUGAGAU
rnacentral:lncRNA from 1 species